GACGAACGCUGGCGGCGUGCCUAACACAUGCAAGUCGAACGAGAGCGCCCGGUGCUUGCCCUGGUCAAGCUAGUGGCGAACGGGUGAGUAACACGUGUAUCACCUGCUCAUCAGUGGGGGAUCACAUUCGGAAACGGUUGCUAAAACCGCAUAGGUCUUCGAACCGCAUGGUUUGAAGAGGAAUAGAGGCGCACGCUUCUGCUGAUGCCUGUACCCGCGUUGCAUUUGCUAGUUGGGGGGGUAACGGCUCACCAAGGCCGUGAUGCGUAGCCGACCUGAGAGGGUGAUCGGCCACAUUGGGACUGAGACACGGCCCAGACUCCUACGGGAGGCAGCAGUAGGGAAUCUUCCGCAAUGGGCGCAAGUCUGACGGAGCAACGCCGCGUGAGUGAAGAAGGUGUUCGGAUCGUAAAACUCUUUUGUUAGGGAAGAAUAGGUGCUAGAGUAAACGUUGCGGCCUUGACGGUAUCUAAAGAAGAAGCAACGGCUAACUACGUG
rnacentral:rRNA from 1 species